UGGGAGUUCAGCAGACAAAGACACAAAAUGAGGAGGUAACAGCCGUGAUUACAGUCUUCAAAUGUCAUCAGAGAAAAAUGCCACAAAACAUGAAUGACAUCUUAUCCAGUUCAAACCCAGAACCAUUUGUUCACAGAAGCAGAAAGACAAAAGCUGAGAGACGUAGAAAAUGAGGUGUAUGUGCACACACCCUGAUGCAUGACGAGAGCAUCCACAGCCCCACCUAGAAGCCUUUGUCCUCUCAGGCACGACUCAUCACACCGUGGGCUCAUAAAUAACCAGCAGGACUCUAUCAGCCUCAGUCUCUGAGAGGACAGCACUCAAGCAAACAACUCAUCUAUAGAACAGAAGAGAAACUUCAUCACCAUGCUGACCAACAUUUGUUUGAUCUUCCUCCUGUGUGUUGCCUCAUGCAACGGACAGUCAACCACAGCUGCGACCACUGCUGCAACCACUGCUGCAACCACUGCUGCAACCACAGCUGCAACCACUGCUGCAACCACAGCUGCAACCACAGCUGCAACCACUGCUGCAACCACAGCUGCAACCACAGCUGCAACCACAGCUGCAACCACAGCUGCAACCACUGCUGCUGCAACCACAGCUGCUGCAACCACAGUUGCUGGGGCAACAACUGCUGCUGGGGCAACAAUAGCCGCUGGGGCAACAACUGCUGCCUCUUCUGCAAUCAUCCAUAAGAUGACUCUGGUUUCUGCCAUUCUGGUUGCGAUGACACAUUUACUUCGCUGCUGCUAAAGUUGUUCACAUCCUGUCAAUGAAAUGAGAAAAUCGAAGGAUAUUUAUGAAGAUUUGAAAUUCUGUAAAUAAGCUAAUUUCUUUUGCUGUAUCAUUUAUAUUGUUUAUUCUUGUUGCCAUGGUUGCAGGUGAAUCAGUAAUCCCAGCUGAGCCUCCUGGAGAUGUGAUGUCAUCCAUCCAUCUGUGAAGGGAGAACUGAAUCUGUCUGAUAUUACCUGCAUGUCUGGUUGUAAAUGCAUCAUUUCUAAGCAACAUUCUGCAAUAAAGUUUUUACAAAACUUAAGUUUACCAUUUAUUCAGUUGCCACCAACUAUGUUCUUGCACCACAUUAAAUAAUCUGGAGGACAUAUAAAGCAAAACCUAAA
ensembl:lncRNA